GAGGAUGAGAACCUCCGGGGGCAAGAGGUUCGACUCGAGCGAAGCGAGAGAACGUUGCGUCAGCAACGGCCCGCAGUGGCAAGUCAUCCUC
rnacentral:sRNA from 1 species